CUUCCACCUUCUUCUCUCUCUCUCACUAGGGUUUUUUCUCUCUCUACAUAGAAAUCGCCGAAUUAGCUCGUUUUUGUCGCCUCGCCUGUUCUUCGCUGUUUGCGAGCGUCGCAGAGCUUCCGUGGACGUGUAAGAGAGUGUUCUGGAAGGUUUUUCGCAGCUCUGAACCAGUAGGGUGCUGGUUGGAAGCUUGAGAAGCUGAGAGAAAGGUGGAUUUGCUGCUGUAAUAGGGUCAGAUAUUGUUGAUUAACUCAGUUGGGACUGAGUUUAUGGUUUAAGAAGUAGGUUUCCGAGUUAAUUGAGCUCAUUUGGUGACCUUGGAAACUGGUUUAGAAGGUGUUCUAACCUGAGCAAAGGUGCAAUCGACCGUUGGAUUGCCUGCUGCUGACUUGUGAGCGCUUCUGGAGGUUAAACGUAAGAGCCAUCUACAGGAGAGGCUAGGGAUCGUGGUAAGGGA